AUAAUGAUACUUCAAUAGUUUAAGCUGCCUCGUCUGGAACAAGGGGCAGAGGUGAGAUUCCUAUGU
rfam:Shuttleworthia satelles DSM 14600 genomic scaffold Scfld1, whole genome shotgun sequence.